rnacentral:rRNA from 1 species
UACAGAGGUCUCAAGCGUUGUUCGGAUUCAUUGGGCGUAAAGGGUGCGUAGGCGGCGCGGUAAGUCGGGUGUGAAAUUUCGGAGCUUAACUCCGAAACUGCAUUCGAUACUGCCGUGCUUGAGGACUGGAGAGGAGACUGGAAUUUACGGUGUAGCAGUGAAAUGCGUAGAUAUGCGGAGGAACACCGAUGGCGAAGGCAAUCCCCUGGGCCUGCACUGACGCUCAUGCACGAAAGCGUGGGGAGCAAACAGG